UGGUGGUAGUUGGAUACAGAGGUUUUGAUGGACAGCAAGGCUCCACUUCAUGGACUAAUGACAAAAGGUGCCGUAUUUGACCUGGUGCUAUGCUUUUUGACAGGUACACACCCAAUGCCCUUCUAUUGUGGAAAGAUCGAUUAACAUAAUUCCAAUCUUGCGCUGAAAAUGAUUACACAAGGAGAUGAAUUAUAGGUAAGAAGAAAGGUGUUCUUGGAUUUUUAUCUGCUGAAAACUCACCGGUCAUUUUAAUUGAUUUUUGCAGGUUUUGUUGUGCUGUGGAACACGGCACACAUUAUUUUUAUUAUAGUAUUUUUUUUCUUGAUUCAUACCUGUGAACAGAAACGCUAAUAUCUGUUAUGUGAUGCUGACCGUUGGUUGAAAUUGUUUUUUAGGAAAGAAUUUGAGAGCGAAUGGUGUGAAGCCAGAGAAGAGGACGUGUUGCUGAUUUGUUGCGGCUGGCGGGUGGCUGAAGAGCCAGAGCGCAGGGUUGACUUGGACUAGUUUAACGGCACGGUCGUUCGCGGCCAAUCCUUCAGGACUUCGUCAUCGUGUCCUGCUAAUACUUUGCUAGGUCAGGUGCUCACGGCUGAUUAGUCAAUAUUUGAUCUGGUCACCUCCUUACUGUUGAACAAUCUUGGUGUAACUGUCUUCCUGCUUUCUCUGAUGAGGUCGUCUAGAAUGGCACGGUCGGACGAGCCCAAAGAACACGGUGAGUACCGGACUACCGGUACCAGGGCUUUGGGUGCCUGUCUCUGUACAAUGCUAAUGCUGUCAUUUGUCACAUGAUACCGGUGUCGUGCAUUGUCAUCGAUUAAAGAGAUGCUGUUUGUGAGACUGAGGCGCCGACGAAUGUGUUACGUUUUAGUUUUUGGCCGUGGUCUGGUCUCUUUUGCCCUUCAACCGAGGAGAUAUUUGGUGGUACAGGAAUACAUGUACAGAGAUGAGAUUAUUUCGCGGGCCCAACGAGUUUGGCG
rnacentral:lncRNA from 1 species